GCGCCGAUGGUAGUGUGGGGUCUCCCCAUGCGAGAGUAGGGAACUGCCAGGC
rnacentral:rRNA from 1 species